rfam:Echinostoma caproni strain Egypt genome assembly, scaffold: ECPE_scaffold0002440
GGUCCCGUAGCUCAGCUGGUAGAGCGUGCGCCUUCAAAGCGUAGGCGGCGUCCAUGCGUGGGUUCAAAUCCUACCGAGGCUA